GUAUUACUCGGAGUUCCUUUGAAGCACUCCACGCAGACUCCACGAAGCAUCUUUUUGAGGGCUUAUGUGUAGUGUUUGAGGGAACUCUAGGUGUCAC
rnacentral:pre_miRNA from 1 species